rnacentral:rRNA from 1 species
CCUACGGGAGGCAGCAGUGGGGAAUAUUGGACAAUGGGCGAAAGCCUGAUCCAGCCAUGCCGCGUGUGUGAAGAAGGUCUUCGGAUUGUAAAGCACUUUAAGUUGGGAGGAAGGGCAGUAAGUUAAUACCUUGCUGUUUUGACGUUACCAACAGAAUAAGCACCGGCUAACUUCGUGCCAGCAGCCGCGGUAAUACGAAGGGUGCAAGCGUUAAUCGGAAUUACUGGGCGUAAAGCGCGCGUAGGUGGUUCAGCAAGUUGGAUGUGAAAUCCCCGGGCUCAACCUGGGAACUGCAUCCAAAACUACUGAGCUAGAGUACGGUAGAGGGUGGUGGAAUUUCCUGUGUAGCGGUGAAAUGCGUAGAUAUAGGAAGGAACACCAGUGGCGAAGGCGACCACCUGGACUGAUACUGACACUGAGGUGC